AUUGAACGCUGGCGGCAGGCCUAACACAUGCAAGUCGAGCGGAUGAAGGGAGCUUGCUCCUGGAUUCAGCGGCGGACGGGUGAGUAAUGCCUAGGAAUCUGCCUGGUAGUGGGGGAUAACGUCCGGAAACGGGCGCUAAUACCGCAUACGUCCUGAGGGAGAAAGUGGGGGAUCUUCGGACCUCACGCUAUCAGAUGAGCCUAGGUCGGAUUAGCUAGUUGGUGGGGUAAAGGCCUACCAAGGCGACGAUCCGUAACUGGUCUGAGAGGAUGAUCAGUAAAACUGGAACUGAGACACGGUCCAGACUCCUACGGGAGGCAGCAGUGGGGAAUAUUGGAAAAUGGGCGAAAGCCUGAUCCAGCCAUGCCGCGUGUGUGAAGAAGGUCUUCGGAUUGUAAAGCACUUUAAGUUGGGAGGAAGGGCAGUAAGUUAAUACCUUGCUGUUUUGACGUUACCAACAGAAUAAGCACCGGCUAACUUCGUG
rnacentral:rRNA from 1 species